GUGCUCACUUUGGCAGCACAUAUACUAAAAUUGGAACAACACAGAGAAGAUUAGCAUGGCCCCUGCGACAAGGAUGACACGCAAAUUUGUGAAGCGUUUCAUAUUUUU
rnacentral:snRNA from 1 species